AAGCAUACUGUUCUGAGAAUAAAAGUGAGAAGUUCCCAGUCCUUACUAUCAACUUUUCAGUUAGAGUUAAAUGGUUGAUGGUUUAAAUUUACACUUCUCUUCUCUUGGGUGCUUUGAAAAUGUAAAGAAGAAAUUGAUCUUCAAUUCAGAAAUAUAUUUAUGUCUGAAAUUAAUCUUUCUUGACCUUUUCCUGCAGAAGAACAAAUUAAAAAG
rnacentral:misc_RNA from 1 species